rnacentral:rRNA from 1 species
UGAGGAAUAUUGGUCAAUGGACGAGAGUCUGAACCAGCCAAAUCGCGUGAAGGAAGACUGCCCUACGGGUUGUAAACUUCUUUUGUACAGGAAUAAAAGACAUUACGUGUAAUGUAUUGCAUGUACUGUACGAAUAAGCAUCGGCUAACUCCGUGCCAGCAGCCGCGGUAAUACGGAGGAUGCGCGCGUUAUCCGGAUUUAUUGGGUUUAAAGGGUGCGCAGGCGGGAUUUUAAGUCAGCGGUGAAAUUUUCAGGCUCAACCUGAACACUGCCGUUGAAACUGGGAUUCUUCAAUAUGGAGGAAGUAGGCGGAAUUCGUUGUGUAGCGGUGACAUGCUUAGAUAUAACGAGGAACUCCGAUUGCGUAGGCAGCUUACUAAGCCAUAACUGACGCUCAAGCACGAAAGCGUGGGGAUCAAACA